rnacentral:sRNA from 1 species
GUAUAUAAAUGCGGUGGCGCCCGGCGUAGGGGCACUUCGCUCCUGAGCGCUUGGGAGUUCGGUCGUUUGCCGGCGUAGCGGCCAGUGCCUGAGCCCUCUCUUGCUCUUCGCUGUGGCAUGGCGGACGAGGGGAAGUCGUACAGCGAACACGAUGAUGAACGCGUUAAUUUCCCUCAAAGAAAGAAGAAAGGCCGGGGUCCCUUCCGGUGGAAAUAUGGUGAAGGAAACCGUAGGUCUGGAAGAGGCGGUUCUGGUAUUCGGUCUUCCCGCCUUGAGGAAGAUGAUGGAGAUGUGGCAAUGAGUGACGCUCAGGAUGGUCCCCGAGUACGAUAGUGAGUGACCAGUUGGUCUGGUUUGAAUUUAGUGGCUCAUGAGAUUAUAUGGCCCUUUUACUGUCCAUGUCAUUUCCUUUCCCACCUGUUACAAUCUUAGUUGUAGUCCCACUAACAGUGCAGGAAGGUCUUUGAGAAGACUUUCCUAGCAUUUAUGCUCAUUUUAUUCUCUGCUUACCCACAGCAACCCCUAUACCACCCGACCUA